GUCUCAGUUCAGAUUGCAGGCUGCAACCCGCCUGCAUGAAGUCGGAAUUGCUAGUAAUCGCGGAUCAGCAUGCCGCGGUGAAUACGUUCCCGGGCCUUGUACACACCGCCCGUCACACCAUGGAAGUCUGCAAUGCCCGAAGCCGGUGGCCUAACCACUUAUGUGGAAGGAGCCGUCUAAGGCAGGGCAGAUGACUGGGGUGAAGUCGUAACAAGGUAGC
rnacentral:rRNA from 1 species